GGAGGCGCCUGCUGAGUUCACGGCCCUGCUGCUGCUGAUGAGGAGAGGCACUGCCAGAUUGUGGCUGAUGGGAUGAGUUACAUUUAGUUGUUUGUGUCUCUGGAGGGGCGGAUUUGUUGUCGUGGCAGAAAUGGCCUCGACUAGAGGCCGCGAUGUGGAGUGUUUGGUCUACUCUUCCACGCUGGGCGUGCCCGCACUUUACCCCGAUACACACGCGGGGCGUGAGCUCACUGGGCUUGCAAUGCAGAGGUGCAGCACAACAACAAGAAGCAGGAGGAGGAUGGUUUUGUCUCCCAAGCCGAGCACUUCCGGGUCCACCUUCAUGAUCCUCCCUCUGCCCCGGGGGUGGGGGCAGGGAGAUCCCCUCGCACAGGGUUACGCUGCUACUUCCGCUGAGGCCGGGGCGAGUGGAGGUGGCGCUGUGCAUUGUGGGUGGCGAGAGGCUUAUUUGGAUUCCCUCUCACGGCCACCGUCGGUGGCUCGCGAGCUUCUGAAGUGGCGGCUCGCUGGCUGGGCCUCCUCUACGUCGACUCGGCCAGAAGACACAUCAGCAGUGGCGGUGGUGGGGGGGAGACGAAGGAGGCACCUGGCCCACAGGUGGUGCAGGUUCAGGAGUUUACUGGCUGCACUCCGACCUUUGGCCUUGGCUGUCGCCCAAGUGGGAUUGUCGCACAGCAGUCAACCCAUAGUAUCAGGAUCUGUCCCGUGACCUCCUCCUAUACCUAGCCUGGAAAAGCAGUCAACCUGUGGCACCCA